CGGACGGGUGAGUAACACGUGGAUAACCUACCUAUAAGACUGGGAUAACUUCGGGAAACCGGAGCUAAUACCGGAUAAUAUAUUGAACCGCAUGGUUCAAUAGUGAAAGACGGUUUUGCUGUCACUUAUAGAUGGAUCCGCGCCGCAUUAGCUAGUUGGUAAGGUAACGGCUUACCAAGGCAGCGAUGCGUAGCCGACCUGAGAGGGUGAUCGGCCACACUGGAACUGAGACACGGUCCAGACUCCUACGGGAGGCAGCAGGA
rnacentral:rRNA from 1 species